rnacentral:rRNA from 1 species
UGGGGAAUAUUGCACAAUGGAGGGAACUCUGAUGCAGCGACGCCGCGUGAACGAAGAAGGCUUUCGAGUCGUAAAGUUCUUUUAUAUGGGAAGAUAAUGACGGUACCAUAAGAAAAAGCCCCGGCUAACUACGUGCCAGCAGCCGCGGUAAUACGUAGGGGGCUAGCGUUGUCCGGAAUCACUGGGCGUAAAGGGUUCGCAGGCGGAAAUGCAAGUCAGGUGUAAAAGGCAGUAGCUUAACUACUGUAAGCAUUUGAAACUGCAUAUCUUGAGAAGAGUAGAGGUAAGUGGAAUUUUUUGUGUGGCGGUGAAAUGCGUAAGAAUUAAAAAAAAUACCGGGGGAGAAAGCAGCUUACUUGGCUUAGUUUGAAGCUGAGGAAACAAAGAGUAGGGAACAAAAAGGA